AGCGAACGCUGGCGGCAGGCCUAACACAUGCAAGUCGAGCGGCCGUAGCAAUACGGCAGCGGCAGACGGGAGAGUAACACGUGGGAACGCGCCCUUCGGUUCGGGAUAACCCAGGGAAACUUGGGCUAAUACCGGAUACGCCCUUACGGGGAAAGAUUUAUUGCCGAAGGAACGGCCCGCGUCCGAUUAGCUAGUUGGUGAGGUAACGGCUCACCAAGGCGACGAUCGGUAGCUGGUCUGAGAGGAUGACCAGCCUCACUGGGACUGAGACACGGCCCAGACUCCUACGGGAGGCAGCAGUGGGGAAUAUUGGACAAUGGGCGCAAGCCUGAUCCAGCCAUGCCGCGUGAGUGAUGAAGGCCCUAGGGUUGUAAAGCCCUUUCAGCGGGGAAGAUAAUGACGGUACCCGCAGAAGAAGCCCCGGCUAACUUCGUGCCAGCCGCCGCAGUAAAAC
rnacentral:rRNA from 1 species